AAUAUCAAUCCCCGAGGGUUUUUCCUCCCGGUGGACUUGGACCUGGGCGUCUGCCUCACAAGGCUCGCCUCAAAUGACUCUGUGGGAACUUCUUGACCUACGCCUGACGUGAUAAGUUUCGUCCAUGGCCGGUCCCGAGGCCCGCACACAACCCCCAUUAUCUUUUGA
rnacentral:misc_RNA from 1 species